GGUUUAAUCCCAGUAUCUCAAGGUACUAAGGAGUUCUGGCCAGUGAUUAAUUUCGCUGUGUCGAAAACCUAAAUUUUUGGGUGGCUUUCUCGGGGUUAUCCGGGAGGCGAU
rnacentral:sRNA from 1 species